rnacentral:rRNA from 1 species
AUGGUCAAGCUAAGAAGAGCGCAAGGGGAAUGCCUUGGCACUGAGAGCCGAAGAAGGACGCGACUAACUGCGAUAAGCCACGGGGAGCCGUAAGUAGGCAUUGAUCCGUGGAUUUCCGAAUGGAGCAAUCCGGCUGGAGUCAUGUCCAGUCACCGUAUUCUGAAUUCAUAGGGAUACGGGGGGAACCGCCUGAACUGAAACAUCUAAGUAGGGCGAGGAAAAGAAAUCAACCGAGAUUCCGCUAGUAGUGGCGAGCGAACGCGGAAGAGGCCAAACCAGAGGUAGCAAUACCUUUGGGGUUCGGACAGCGCACGGUAUGGAAGGUAUCUAGCAGAAUGGCAUGGGAAGGCCAACGAGACAGGGUGAAAGUCCCGUAUGUGAAAGAGAAGAUCCGCCAGCUGAAUCCAGAGUACCGCCGGACACGUGAAACCCGGUGGGAAGACGGGGGGACCAUCCUCCAAGCCUAAAUACUACUCAGUGACCGAUAGUGAAGAGUACUGUGAAGGAAAGGUGAAAAGCACCCCGGGAGGGGAGUGAAAGAGAACCUGAAACCUUGUGCUUACAAGCACCGAGAGCCCGUCAACGGGUGAUCGGGUACCUUUUGUAGAAUGGUCCGGCGAGUGAAUGUAACUGGCAAGGUUAAGACUUAAGGUCUGAAGCCGCAGCGAGAGCAAGUCUUAAUAGGGCGUAAGAAGUCAGUUGUAUUCGACCCGAAACCGGGUGACCUACCCAUGUCCAGGUUGAAGUGGAGGUAAAACUCCAUGGAGGACCGAACCGACUCCCGUUGAAAUGGUAGCGGAUGAGGUGUGGGUAGCGGAGAAAUUCCAAUCGAACCCGGAGAUAGCUGGUUCUCUCCGAAAUAGCUUUAGGGCUAGCCUCAUAUUAGAUUACUGGAGGUAAAGCACUGAAUGGGCUAGGGGCCGAGAGGUUACUGAACCCUAUCAAACUCAGAAUGCCAGAUAAUUGAUGUAUGGGAGUCAGACAGUGUGAGAUAAGUUUCAUUGUCAAAAGGGAAACAGCCCAGACCCACAGCUAAGGUCCCAAAGUAUGGUUAAGUGGAAAAGGAUGUGAGGUUGCUUAGACAACCAGGAUGUUGGCUUAGAAGCAGCCACUCAUUAAAAGAGUGCGUAAUAGCUCACUGGUCGAGUGACCCUGCGCCGAAAAUUUAACGGGGCUAAAUCAUACACCGAAGCUUGGGAUUGACAGAUAUUCUUCAUGUUUUCAAGCAGGAUAGGAAAGAGAGGAAAUCUGAUGACGCCGAAGAAUGAGACGGCAUUAAAUUUCUGUUCAAGUAAAAGCAUGAAGAUGUGAAGAAUAUCUGUCGAUGGUAGGAGAGCGUUCUAUGCGGGGAGAAGUCUGAGCGGAAGCGCAGGUGGACUGCAUAGAAGUGAGAAUGCCGGAAUGAGUAGCGCGAAAUAUGUGAGAAUCAUAUUGGCCGAAAGUCUAAGGUUUUUGGAGGAAGGUUCGUCCGCUCCAAGUAAGUCGGGAGCUAAGGCGAGGCCGAAAGGCGUAGUCGAUGCACAUACGGUAGAUAUUCCGUAACCGCCGAAGGAUUAAAGCAAAGGGACACCUGCGAAGCGUGUAACCCGGGCGAUGGUUGCCCCGGGCGAAAGGGACCGAAAUUUAGUAGGGAAGUACAUGUAGAGCAGGGCGAGAAAAGCUUUGUGUAUAUCCAAGGCGCCCGUACCGCAAACCGACACAGUAGAUAGGAAGAGAAUUCUAAGGCCAACGGGAGAAGGGUAGUUAAGGAACUCGGCAAAUUGGUCCCGUAACUUAGGGAAAAGGGACGCUCCAGAGAUGGAGCCGCAGUGAAUAGGCCCAGGCGACUGUUUAGCAAAAACACAGGUCUCUGCCAAAUCGAAAGAUGAAGUAUAGGGGCUGACACCUGCCCGGUGCUGGAAGGUUAAGAGGAGAUGUGCAAGCAUUGAAUUGAAGCCCCAGUAAACGGCGGCCGUAACUAUAACGGUCCUAAGGUAGCGAAAUUCCUUGUCGGGUAAGUUCCGACCCGCACGAAUGGUGUAACGAUCUGGGCACUGUCUCAACUACCCGCCCGGCGAAAUUGUAGUACCGGUGAAGAUGCCGGUUACCCGCGACAAGACGGAAAGACCCCAUGGAGCUUUACUGUAGCUUGAUAUUGGGUUUCGGUAAUUUAUGUACAGGAUAGGCGGGAGACAAGGAAGCCAGUACGCUAGUAUUGGUGGAGUCGCCCUUGGGAUACCGCUCUUAAGUUGCUGGAAUUCUAACCUGCGGCCGUGAAUCCGGUCGGGGGACAUUGUCAGGUGGGCAGUUUGACUGGGGCGGUCGCCUCCAAAAGAGUAACGGAGGCGCUCAAAGGUUCGCUCAGCACGGACGGAAACCGUGCUUUUGAGUGUAAACGCAGAAGCGAGCCUGACUGCGAGGGUGACGGCCCGAGCAGAAACGAAAGUUGGAGUUAGUGAUCCGGCGGUAUGUGAAUGGAAAUGCCGUCGCUCAACGGAUAAAAGCUACCCUGGGGAUAACAGGCUGAUCUCCCCCAAGAGUCCACAUCGACGGGGAGGUUUGGCACCUCGAUGUCGGCUCAUCACAUCCUGGGGCUGUAUUCGGUCCCAAGGGUUCGGCUGUUCGCCGAUUAAAGUGGUACGCGAGCUGGGUUCAGAACGUCGUGAGACAGUUCGGUCCCUAUCUGUCGUGGGCGCAGGAUAUUUGAGGAGCUCUGUCCUUAGUACGAGAGGACCGGGAUGGACGCACCGCUGGUGCACCAGUUGUCACGCCAGUGGCACAGCUGGGCAGCUAAGUGCGGAUCGGAUAAACGCUGAAAGCAUCUAAGCGUGAAGCCGGCUCCAAGAUAAGAUAUCCCAUUCCGUAAGGAAGUAAGACCCCUUGAAGACUACAAG